UAGGGAAUAUUAGAAAUGGACGAAAGUCUGAUCUAGCAACACCGCGUGUGCGAAGAAGGCCUUCGGGUUGUAAAGCACUUUUUGGAAGGAUUAGGAAGGAAUGUACUUCCAGAAUAAGUCUCGGCUAACUACGUGCCAGCAGCCGCGGUAACACGUAGGAGGCAAACGUUAUCCGGAUUUACUGGGCGUAAAGCGCGUGUAGGUGGUUCUGUAAGUAGGGCGUGAAAGCUCCUGGCUCAACUGGGAGAGGCCGUUCUAAACUGCAGAGCUAGAGGAUGGUAGAGGGAGGUGGAAUUCCGGGGGUAGCGGUGGAAUGCGCAGAUAUCCGGAGGAACACCAGCGGCGCAGGCGGCUCACUAGACAGUUUCUGACGCUAAGAUACGAAAGCGUGGGGAGCAAACA
rnacentral:rRNA from 1 species